UACGUAGGGGGCGAGCGUUGUCCGGAAUCAUUGGGCGUAAAGGGCGCGUAGGCGGAUAAUUAAGUCUGGUGUGAAAACUUGGGGCUCAACCCCAAGCCUGCAUCGGAAACUGGAUAUCUUGUGGACAGGAGAGGAAAGUGGAAUUCCACGUGUAGCGGUGAAAUGCGUAGAGAUGUGGAGGAACACCAGUGGCGAAGGCGACUUUCUGGACUGUAACUGACGCUGAGGCGCGAAAGCGUGGGGAG
rnacentral:rRNA from 1 species